UGUCAUUCGUUGUUGUGUACCUAAGAAAAUUUUGGUCUAUGGUGCUGCUUUUGGUGCUAACUCGAGAACACAAAACAUUACAGGUGGGAACUGAACGAGAAAAUUGAUUUCAAUGGGAAGAAACUUCUACUCAAAAAGGAGCAAGGAGCAGGUUUUUUGUUUGACGAUUUGACAUGUAUAAAUUUGAACAAAUCAACACUCUUACAUCAAAUGGAGCUGAUAUAGAAAAUUGUACUAGAUUGCCGGGUGCUGCUCACGAUUAUACGAGAUUUAUUUGUCGUGCAUCUAGGUAACUAGGUUGGUGGUCAAUUGAUGAAGGGAGUCAGGAGGAGCAAGUUCGGCUAUAUUGUGCAUUGGGAUCUA